rnacentral:rRNA from 1 species
UGGAUGAUGUGGAUUAAUCGAUGCAACGCGAAAAACCUUACCUACCCUUGACAUGUCCGGAAUCCCGAAGAGAUUUGGGAGUGCUCGCAAGAGAGCCGGAACACAGGUGCUGCAUGGCUGUCGUCAGCUCGUGUCGUGAGAUGUUGGGUUAAGUCCCGCAACGAGCGCAACCCUUGUCAUUAGUUGCCAUCAUUUGGUUGGGCACUCUAAUGAGACUGCCGGUGACAAACCGGAGGAAGGUGGGGAUGACGUCAAGUCCUCAUGGCCCUUAUGGGUAGGGCUUCACACGUCAUACAAUGGUCGGUACAGAGGGUUGCCAACCCGCGAGGGGGAGCUAAUCCCAGAAAGCCGAUCGUAGUCCGGAUUGUUCUCUGCAACUCGAGAGCAUGAAGUCGGAAUCGCUAGUAAUCGCGGAUCAGCAUGUCGCGGUGAAUACGUUCCCGGGUCUU